rnacentral:rRNA from 1 species
GAUGAACGCUGGCGGCGUGCCUAAUACAUGCAAGUCGAGCGAACGGACGAGAAGCUUGCUUCUCUGAUGUUAGCGGCGGACGGGUGAGUAACACGUGGAUAACCUACCUAUAAGACUGGGAUAACUUCGGGAAACCGUAGCUAAUACCGGAUAAUAUUUUGAACCGCAUGGUUCAAAAGUGAAGGACGGUCUUGCUGUCACUUAUAGAUGGAUCCGCGCUGCAUUAGCUAGUUGGUAAGGUAACGGCUUACCAAGGCAACGAUGCAUAGCCGACCUGAGAGGGUGAUCGGCCACACUGGAACUGAGACACGGUCCAGACUCCUACGGGAGGCAGCAGUAGGGAAUCUUCCGCAAUGGGCGAAAGCCUGACGGAGCAACGCCGCGUGAGUGAUGAAGGUCUUCGGAUCGUAAAACUCUGUUAUUAGGGAAGAACAUUUGUGUAAUUAACUGUGCACAUCUUGACGGUACCUAAUCAGAAAGCCACGGCUAACUACGUG